rnacentral:piRNA from 1 species
UGGGACUUUUGGAGUUUGAGAUUUACCACU